CUUAACGGUAAAAGUGCCGUGGAAACUAGAGCUCUUGAGUGUAGCAGAGGCCGGUGGAAUUCGUGGUGUAGCGGUGAAAUGCAUAGAUAUAACUCAGAACACCGAUCGCGAAGGCAGCUGUCUAGGCUGAGACUGACGCUGAGGCACGAAAGCGUGGGGAGCGAACAGGAUUAGAUACCCUGGUAGUCCACGCUGUAAACGAUGAUCACUCGCUGUUGGCGAUAUACAGUCAGCGGCUGAGCGAAAGCAUUAAGUGAUCCACCUGGGGAGUACGUCGGCAACGAUGAAACUCAAAGGAAUUGACGGGGGCCCGCACAAGCGGAGGAACAUGUGGUUUAAUUCGAUGAUACGCGAGGAACCUUACCUGGGCUUAAAUGUAGAGUGCAUGGAGGGGAAACCUUCCUUUCCUUCGGGACUC
rnacentral:rRNA from 1 species